GGAAGCUGUGUGGGGUUUUAUUGAGGCCGGUAAACAAGGAAGUCAUUCGUGAGUCUCUUGGGAGCCAUUCAGAAGGAUACAGACUUGUCUUAUCUGGACUAUGGGAGAGAAAGGGGGUUUGUUGCUGUUAGCUGUUUCCAGAAACAUGAAAAUGUAGUGGAGUUUCACAACCAUGGCCGUUUUCCUGGAGCACAGGACUCAGGUCAAAUUCAACAUUGGCCCCAGCAGCGUGAUAAGAUGCUGGUGAAGUGAACAACGUACUCAACAACAGCAUGGAAGAGAAUUGUGGACACUAAAUGUAUUUUCCUAACUGAAGGUACCAUUACUAUCCUGAACUCCUUGAAUCAAUUUCUUGACUUGGUAGAGUCACAUGUGUGGAAUUUAGCUGGGACUUGGCCAUGCUCUGCUGCACGUAUGAAGUACACUGGAUCUCCAUGGGAUGCUCCUGUAGGUGAAAUAUCAGCCCAGGUCCAAAGGGUCCAUCUACGGAGACGUCUGCUCCUGAGGCCCCGGGCAGGAAAGAGCCAGGGGCAAUAUUUAGGCACUGGAUAACAGAAUAAAAGGACAAAGUCAUUCAGCUGAAGGAAAGGAGCCA
rnacentral:lncRNA from 1 species